GACGAAUGCUGGCGGCGUGCUUAACACAUGCAGGUCGAACGGAAAGGCCCUGCUUGCAGGGUACUCUAGUGGCGAACGGGUGAGUAACACGUGGGUGAUCUGCCCUGCACUUCGGGAUAAGCCUGGGAAACUGGGUCUAAUACCGCAUAGGAGCCCUUUUUAUUGCGAUGGUUGGAAAGUUUUUUCGGUGUAGGAUGAGCUCGCGGCCUAUCAGCUUGUUGGUGGGGUAAUGGCCUACCAAGGCGGCGACGGGUAGCCGGCCUGAGAGGGUGGACGGCCACAUUGGGACUGAGAUACGGCCCAGACUCCUACGGGAGGCAGCAGUGGGGAAUAUUGCACAAUGGGCGCAAGCCUGAUGCAGCGACGCCGCGUGGGGGAUGACGGCCUUCGGGUUGUAAACUCCUUUCGCUAGGGAUGAAGCUUUUGUGACGGUACCUAGAGAAGAAGCACCGGCUAACUACGUG
rnacentral:rRNA from 1 species